GUGUGCAGCUUCUUUUCUUUUUAACAUUUUCAACUUCCUGGGGAAAAUGUGGACUUAAUUAGUUUGUUAGGAACAAUGCCUGUUAAUCAGUGGGUAAACUGUAAAUGUGCUAAUGCUUGUUUUUAAAUGAGUUUGGGUUAAUUUUAAUAGAGGGAUGUUAAAAAAACAAUUCCAAUUAAACAUUAGAUGUCUGACAAAAACAGGAAGAUGACUACUUAAAGUAUGAGUACAAGAAUUCAUGAACCUAAGAUGCCUUUUUUUCUGCAUUCUAACUAAUAAUGGAUGCAACAGAGAGCAGCAACUCUAGGUGAUUAUUUCUGUAGCGCUUAUAAGAAUUUGGCAGCUUAAGUGUGUCACGAGAGUAGAGCGGAAAUGCCUGUGCUGCAGUACAUGAUGUGCCCUAUUGGAUACCUGUGAUAGAAGCUGGCUGGGCUGCAGCUGGCAACAAGAGGCGGAGACCAAAUGACUGCUCUCAGUACUGGCAACAAAACAGGCAGCUGCUGGAGCGGUGGGAGGGUUGGCCUCGUCUUCGAAAGGAGCCAGGGUGCCAGACUUCCUUUGACUAGGCAGGAAAUCUGCUGCAGUCAGGUGUAAGUGAUACGUGCAGACAGCAACAGUGACAGCCAUAGUAAAUCAGACACGACCGGACACACUUUCCAGGCAUCCGUCCAGGCUCCCACCAGUUCACUAUUCAGCCACCAUCCGCGGCCAUUUAGACCAGAGAGCCGAAGCCUGCAUGCUGCUUGGCUGGACACACUGCACAUGCCACCCAUCGCUUGGGAGAGCAGGCCGGCUGGCGGACAGACUGAGGACAAACGGCGGUGCAUUUUAAGUAGAAGGGAGACUCUCCUUGGAAGCUUUCACUGGUUGUACACAGAAAAGUAAGCUGGACAGAGAAGUUAAGAUCCUGCCAUCUUCUCACCUCUUCACCUGGCAUUACUGUCUGAUGUGUUUGUCAGAUGUCUGUUUCAGAAAUUGUUGGAUGCAACACUUCCAAAGUGUAGAGAAUGUGGGCUCACUGGGACAUCGACUGGCACUUUAUUUGAAGCAUGCUGCCAAUGACAGCUAAAUGAUACCACUGCAAAGCACAAUACUGCAAAAGAUUUUUCUUAAAAGCCAUUUUAAGUGAAAAAGAUUUAAAAAAUGGCUUUUUGAAAUUGCCCAUCAUAUGCUUGUCCAACAACAGGCAUGAUUGCUGUUAAAUGACCUUAGACCUUGUUUUAUUUACUCUGACAUACUGAUUCCUAAUCUAAACUAUUGCAAUUCACCUUCUGGCACAUCUACAAAGACCCAUAAUAAAAAUGGACAAGCAGGGGAAAAAACAACGUUCAGCCACGAGAUUAUUCCCCUGAGUAAGACUCAAGCAGGCAGUGAAUUACUGUAUCUAUAUGGGACAGAUGUAAAAAUUUGACACUUAUGUAGAAUCACUCCAUUUUGGCGGAAACAAAUCAGCAAACUGCAGCUAAUUUCCUGAAUGUCUUCAGUUAAUCUCAUUAAUGGGAACAAUUGUGUGAGUAGAUAAGGCGCAGCACACAAAACAGCAGUGUGUUCCUAGAGCUGUAUAUGGCCAAAUGAGGCAAAUUCAGCACUAUUCACCACCUGGGAAACAUCAAAAGACAUGUGGAGUGUGAGCGUGUUCAGAACAGACAGCGGCCUGAACACGACACUCUGUGGCUUUGGAGAUAAGCUGUACUACUCUAUGCUUCUUGGGCUAAUUUUGGAGAGGCUAAAAUAAAACCGGCAUUAUUUAAUAGUGUGUUUAAAGCCUUGUUAUCAUUAGGAAUGAAAUUACUAAUGCUUUAACGCAUUGAACAAGGAAAUUGUAAUUUAGAAAGGAGUAAAGCAAAAUAAAGUAGGCCCAAAAACCCAUUACGGGCUUUUAAAAAAAUGA